GAUGCUUUCCAAGCUUUACAAGCCUCUGCUGUAGUGUCACCGUCACUCUUAAAAUUGGAGAUUGACCGCCUCCAAGGUUCACAAAUGUUUCAGCAACCCUAGGAAAGUCACCCGGGCUUCCCCGAAGCAGAGUUACAGGGCUUUUGAGUAACUCAUUCAUCACUCGGAUGGAGCCUUCCACUCCGACUCAAACUGGUUUCCAACAUAGGCCAUAUGCCUGGAGACCCUACCACACCUCAUGGUAAUUGAUCACCGUAGACCCAGGGACACUCGACUCAUCAUCAAGAGAGGGUAAUCGUCAUGAAUAAUCAAAAAGCUGUGGCUACGCUGCUGCAAGAGUGCAAGCAAGUGCUGGAUCAGCUCCUGUUGGAGGCGUCAGAUGUGUCAGAGGAGGACAAGAGGGAGGACCAGAGAUGCAGAGGCGUGCCUGAAAGCCUCCAUCCUCGCCCGGGACUGCGCCACGGCCGCCGCCAUCGUGUUCCUGAGCGACCGUCUCCUGUACGGGCUUGACGUCUCGGGCCAGCUGCUGCAGGUCGCCAAAGCGCUGCACAGGCUGCAGCCCGCGACGCCCAUCGCCCCGCAGGUGGUCAUCCGCCAGGCCCGAAUCUCGAUGCAUGCAGGGAAACUUUUAAAAGCCGAGUAUAUCCUGAGCAGUCUAAUAAGCAACAAUGGAGCAACGGGUACCUGGCUGUACAGAAAUGAAAGCGACAAGGUCCUAGUGCAGUCAGUCUGCAUACAGAUAAGAGGGCAAAUUCUGCAGAAGCUGGGGAUGUGGUAUGAAGCAGCAGAGUUAAUAUGGGCCUCGAUCAUGGGAUACCUGACACUUCCUCAGCCAGAUAAAAAGGGCAUUUCCACAUCGCUAGGUAUAUUGGCAGACAUCUUCGUCUCCAUGAGCAAGAAAGAUUAUGAAAAGUUUAAAAGCAAUCCUGACAUUAACCUGCGCUUGCUGAAGGAGUUUGACCACCACUUGCUGUCAGCCGCUGAAGCCUGCAAGCUGGCGGCUGCCUUCAGCCCCUACACGCCCCUCUUCGUGCUCACAGCUAUGAAUAUCCGUGGCACAUGCCUCUUGUCAUAUAGUAGUUCUAAGGACUGUCCUCCAGGAAUGAAAAAUUCAUAUCUAUGUGAAGCCAAAGAAGCCUUUGAAAUUGGCCUCCUCACCAAGAAAUGUGAUGAACCAGUUACGGGAAAACAGGAGCUCCAUAGUUUUCUUAAAGCUGCUUUUGGUCUCACCACUGUGCACCAAAGACUCUAUGGGGAGAUGGAGACCGUCCAAACAGCCAGUCAGCUCUGUAGUGAAGCUAUGGGAAAGCUGUAUACGUUCAGCAAUUCCUCCAGAAGUCAGGAGAGAGAAGCUGUCUCUCAGGAAAUCAUGUCUGUUAUCACCCGGGUGAAGGAACAGUUACAAGUUCAAAGCUUCUCAAAUUUAGAUGACAAGUCUUAUGUUCCAGAGGGAUUCAGGCGUGGGUCAGAGAAGCCCCUCUUACUUGGGCAAGUGGAUUUCCCCAAAAUCCUUGGAGCCUAUUCACAGCACCACACUUCAGUGUGUGAAAUAUUUGAAAGCACGUGUGGAAACAACAAAAAUAAACAGAAAGGUAUGAAAACAGGAGUCUGUAUCACGGAUCUGAAAACAGAAACAAAAAACAUAGAUACCGUGAGUGCCACGGAGGACAAAGCACAUUUUGAAAAAGGCAUGGUGAUAUCUUCCUCCCAAAUGGCAAUGAACAGUCAGGAGAAACUCAGGAGGGCGGGAAGGAGAAACUGGGCCGGUUCUGAUGCGUUUCGAGUCUCCGUGGAUGAAGAUGUGGAGACCGAAGCUGAGUCAACAGACCACAGCAGCGGUGGGGGAGCUGUCCUGAACAAGUCUCUGAGUGACAGCCCAAGCUCCAGUUCUUGGAGCAAGUUAUCAGGGUACCAGUCUUCUACAAGCUGGGAGGAAGUGAAUUAUGUUGAUGAUAUGUCCGCAGGAAGAGAGCUGAGCAAGGACGAGCAUCUUGUGGACACGCAGUGUUCCACUGCCCUGUCAGACGAGCAGGAAGUGAAUGGGGCGAGCAGAGCUGAGCACCCAUUGUCUUCAGAGCUGCACGGUCUCUCUCUCCAGGUGCCCAGGGAUGACAGUUUAGAGUCUUCUCAAGGUCAGCUGCACGAGUCCAUGCCCUUGGCAACCUUCCCACCUCAUAGCACAACAGACAUUUCAUUGGCCUCUGGUGGAGGGCGGUUUAAAGGAGGCAUGCAGGAAGUUGGAAAUGUGGGGUCCAGAAAUACUUCUGCUCAUUCCAGACCCUCAUUUUGUUCUGCUUCUUGGACUUCUGAUUCUGGUUGGCCUAAGAAUGUGGCCUCAUAUCCUUCCAUCCAAGAAGAAGAAACCUUUGAAACAAUUGAUGAGUUUCGAGAUAUCAACGGUGAUGCCAAGGACGAGGAUGAAGAAGAGAAGAGAGAAGAAAUCAAAGGAGGCACAGGUCCUCCAUUUAAAGAUAGCCCCUGCUGGGUUGACCCGGAAGGAGAAAUAGCAGAAAGAGCAGAGGAUGUUCCCGUAGACUUCCACUCAGUCGUGGACGAGUCUCUGGACGAAAGUUCCACAGUAGCAUGUAACUCUUACACUCCUCAUUGGCUUGUUCAAAACCCUAACUCAGGAAAAAAUGGUUGCUCAGUCAAAGAGCAGGGCAUUGACCCUGAUGCCUCCACGGUGGGUGAGGAGAGCCCACUGCUGGGCAGUGCAGAUGUUCACACCACGAGCACACGUGGCUCCCCUAGACCGUGCACUUGGAAGCAGCCGCACAUUCAGGGAGCCCAGAUCCCCAGUUCCUCAGUAAGCAGUAAGACUUCCACCCCUGUCCUCAGCGAGGACUGCACUACCACGGAGGAAGCAAAUGAACCUGGAAACCUGCUAAACUGCAGCCAGAACUCCAGCCUAUCCUCACCUUGGUGGCUGAAAUCACCGGCAAUCUCCAGUGGUUCUUCUGAGGGAGAAAAUCCAUGGUCUUUUCUGAAUUCCAGUGGAAGUUCUUUUGUUUCAUUGCCAGGAAUGACAAAGCAGGCGAUCCUUGAGGCCCGCACCCUGCAGCCUGAUGACUUUGAAAAACUCUUGGCAGGGGUGAGGCAUGAUUGGCUGUUCCAGAGACUGGAGCAUACAGGCGUUUUUAAAUCCAGCCAGCUCCACGGAGCACAUAGUGCUCUUUUGUUAAAAUAUUCCAAGAAAUCUGAACUGUGGACAGCCCAAGAAACUGUUGUAUAUUUGGGGGACUACCUACAUGUGACAAAGAAAGGCAGACAAAGAAAUGCAUUUUGGGUACAUCAUCUUCAUCAAGAAGAAACUCUGGGCAGAUACGUUGGGAAAGAAUAUAAGGAGCAGAAGGGGCUCUGGCACCACUUCACUGAUGUGGAGAGGCAGAUGACCGCACAGCACUACGUGACGGAAUUUAACAAGAGACUUUACGAGCAGAAGAUUCACACGCAGAUCUUCUACAUACCAGCCUCAGUAUUGCUGAUCUUAGAAGGCAAGACAAUAAAAGGAUGUGUCAGUGUGGAACCUUACAUGCUAGGGGAAUUUGUAAAAUUAUCAAAUAACACAAAAGUGGUGAAAACAGAAUACAAAGCCACAGAAUACGGCUUGGCUUAUGGCCACUUUUCUUACGAAUUUUCCAAUCAUAGAGAUGUUGUGGUUGAUUUACAAGGUUGGGUGACUGGGAAUGGAAAAGGGCUCAUCUACCUCACAGAUCCCCAGAUUCACUCAGUUGAUCAGAAAGAUGUCACUACCAAUUUUGGAAAGAAAGGAAUUUUCUACUUCUUUAAUAACCAGCAUGUGGAAUGUAAUGAAAUAUGCCAUCGUCUUUCUUUGACAAGACCUUCGAUUGAGAAACCAAACAAUCCAUAG
rnacentral:lncRNA from 1 species